CCCAGACUCCUACGGGAGGCAGCAGUGGGGAAUAUUGGACAAUGGGGGGAACCCUGAUCCAGCGACGCCGCGUGAGUGAAGAAGUAUUUCGGUAUGUAAAGCUCUAUCAGCAGGGAAGAAAAUGGCGGUACCUGACUAAGAAGCCCCGGCUAACUACGUGCCAGCAGCCGCGGUAAUACGUAGGGGGCAAGCGUUAUCCGGAUUUACUGGGUGUAAAGGGAGCGUAGACGGUGCAGCAAGUCUGAUGUGAAAGGUCGGGGCCCAACCCCGGGACUGCAUUGGAAACUGUGCAGCUAGAGUGCAGGAGAGGUAAGUGGAAUUCCUAGUGUAGCGGUGAAAUGCGUAGAUAUUAGGAGGAACCCCAGUGGCGAAGGCGGAUUGCUGGACAGUAACUGACGCUGAGGCGCGAAAGCGUGGGAGCAAACAGGAUUAGAUACCCCAGUAA
rnacentral:rRNA from 1 species